CACAGAUUCACAGAUUCAUGACAUUCUAUUGUAUGUACUCCGUGAUUGAGAAAUGCUACUCUAAGGUAAUGUAAUACAGUUGGAAGGAGCCUGAAAUAUUAUAUGCUUCUCCACUUAGGAAGAUGCGAGGCAGGGUGAGGAGCUCAAUUUCUUUGUCGAGAUCAUUUGGCGUAGGUGUUAAUUCGCCAAGGUAUUGUUCAAUUACUGCUCAGACCCUAAGCAUGGGACUCUCUUGGCCGAGAGAUGCAUCUAUUGUCGUUAUUUAUGUGGUGCCCGUGCACAGGAAUGGUGGGUAGCGUGUAACGAGAAUAAACGCGAGCGCGGACGGUGGUUCUCA
rnacentral:lncRNA from 1 species